rnacentral:rRNA from 1 species
GACGAACGCUGGCGGCGUGCUUAACACAUGCAAGUCGAACGGAAAGGCCCUGCUUGCAGGGUACUCGAGUGGCGAACGGGUGAGUAACACGUGGGUGAUCUGCCCUUCACUUCGGGAUAAGCUUGGGAAACUGGGUCUAAUACCGGAUAGGAACCAUCUUUAGUGUGGUGGUUGGAAAGUUUUUUCGGUGUAGGAUGAGCUCGCGGCCUAUCAGCUUGUUGGUGGGGUAAUGGCCUACCAAGGCGGCGACGGGUAGCCGGCCUGAGAGGGUGUACGGCCACAUUGGGACUGAGAGACGGCCCAGACUCCUACGGGAGGCAGCAGUGGGGAAUAUUGCACAAUGGGCGCAAGCCUGAUGCAGCGACGCCGCGUGGGGGAUGAAGGCCUUCGGGUUGUAAACUCCUUUCGCUAGGGACGAAGCUUUUUGUGACGGUACCUAGAGAAGAAGCACCGGCUAACUACGUG